CCAGUGUUGCGUGGCACCCCUUGUCGCCUCUGCUUUGUCACACCUGGUAGGACUUUCAUGCCAACUCACCUGCAAUCACACAGUUCUCAGAAGCUUGCUCCUUGGCUGGCUGUUCCUGUUCUUCACUUGCCUGGUAUAGGCCCAAGUCACACCAGUUCCUGCCCUGAAGGAUUUACAAAGAAGUACAUUCUGAUGCAAGUCCAGGGAGAGGUUCUGAAGGAUAAUUGCAUCAAUUGUCUGUCUCACCAAGUUUGAGAAGAAGAGAAGCUGAAUGAAGACCAGCUUGAAUUUUAUGAAAAACAUAUCCCUAGUAGCUGAAUGAAGUGAUUUGUUCGCCAGGCUCAGGCCCCACCCAACUGCAGCUUCAAUCUGUGACAGUUUCCCUGGGAAAACAGGAUCUUAAUUACCUGCCUGGUAUCAAAGGAGGAAUUCCAUGGAUGUUUUUUCCACUGUAACAGCAGUUGGCUCCUCUGGAUUCACAGGUUCUGCCUCCAGGGGAUUCAACCAACCUUGGAUAGAAAGUCAGUUGAAUCUGCAUAUUUGGAGGCUGUGGAUCGGAGGGCCAACUGAGGAACUUGAACAUUCUCUGAUUUUGGUAUCGAUGGGGGAUCCUGGGACCAAUGCCCCUUGGAUACUAAGGGAUGACAGUAAUUAUCUUCAAAUAAAU